CUCUGUGUGGUGCAAAUGGUUAAUGUGUUUGGUUGCAAACCAAAAGGUUGAAGGUUCAAGUCCACCCAGAGAUA
rnacentral:tRNA from 1 species